UUUCCGUAGGUGAACCAGCGGAAGGAUCAUUAUAGUAUUACCAAGGUCCCAGGACUGUCGUUGACCCGACCUGUCGCGCACGCUCGAGUGCCCUCCCACACAUCUAUCCCACCCCCACGUGCACCACCCCGCGCGUCCCCCCUCGGCUUGUCCGGAGAGGGGUUUACGUUUUUACACAAUCUUUGUCUUCAGUAUUGAAUGUAUUUAUUGUUUUUGCGAUCACGCAAUCAAUACAACUUUCAACAACGGACCUCUUGGCUCUCGCAUCGAUGAAGAAGG
rnacentral:misc_RNA from 1 species